CCAUCGCGGCGCCGCCGCUCACCAUCUUCUACGCGCAGCAUGGUGGUGGUGUUCGAGGACUUCCCGGCGGAGAAGGCGGCCGAGGUCAUGCGCCUCGCGACCGGCGAUGACCUGUCCAUCGCCCGGAAGGCGUCGUUGCAGCGGUUCCUGGCCAAGCGCAAGGCCUGUCUCGUCGAGCACGCGCCCUACGCCCGCCCGUCGUCCCCCGCGGAGGAGCCGGAGAAGAAGACGGUCAAGCCGGCCUCGACCUUGGCCUCCUGGCUCGGGCUUGGCAGCACGGAAGCCGACCGCCUCACCAUCGCGCUGUUCUGCGGUUCUGCCCACACUCGACAGGUGGGCCCAUCUUUGAGUGUCUGUUUCCUGCUGCAGCUCGCCCGCAGAACCGCGCCCGCCGCCCCACUCCCAAGUUUUUUGUCGUGCUCGCUACCUGGUCUGCCCCACCGUCUUCCCCAGAUCGUGCGAGACCUGGGUCCACCCAGUCCCCACUC